GAUGAACGCUGGCGGCGUGCUUAACACAUGCAAGUCGAACGAAGCACUUAAGAUGAUUUCUUCGGAUUGAAUUUUUUGUGACUUAGUGGCGGACGGGUGAGUAACGCGUGGGCAACCUGCCUCUGUCUGGGGGAUAACAGUUAGAAAUGACUGCUAAUACCGCAUAAGCGCACACUUCCGCAUGGAAGAGUGUGAAAAACGUUAGUGGACAGAGAUGGACCCGCGUUAGAUUAGCCAGUUGGUGGGGUAACGGCCUACCAAAGCAACGAUCUAUAGCCGGCCUGAGAGGGCGACCGGCCACAUUGGGACUGAGACACGGCCCAAACUCC
rnacentral:rRNA from 1 species